rnacentral:tRNA from 1 species
GCGCCCGUAGCUCAGUUGGAUAGAGCGCCGGGCUUCGAACCCGUAGGUCGGGGGUACAAGUCCCUCCGGGCGCGCCA